rnacentral:rRNA from 1 species
UACAGAGGGGGCAAGCGUUAUUCGGAAUUACUGGGCGUAAAGCGUGCGCCGGCGGUUUUGUAAGCCAGAUGUGAAAUCCCCGGGCUUAACCUGGGAAUGGCAUUUGGGACUGCAAGGCUGGAGUGCGGCAGAGGAGACUGGAAUUCCUGGUGUAGCAGUGAAAUGCGUAGAUAUCAGGAGGAAUACCGAUGGCGAAGGCAGGUCUCUGGGCUGACACUGACGCUCAUGCACGAAAGCGUGGGGAGCAAACAGG